GCUUUUCCUUGGGCAUAGCACCACAUUUGCGGCAGCACACCGGAGUCAAUUUGGUUGACUAGCAAUAGAGCAAAGAGUAAAAUCAGGUCUUCACCUAUGGAGGAGGUAGAUACUGACGGAGUGCAUAUGACCAGGUGUCCUCCAGGUUCUGCAUCAUCAGUGUGUACCUCUAGAUUCUGCAUCAUUAGUGAGCAACUUACCUAAGCAACCGAGCCCAAUCAACAAUUGGUAGAAGUAGUUAUGAGAUGAGGCAGAGGAGAGCAGAGAGGACCGGAGAAGGAGUUGCGGACCUCGCCAACAAGGCCGUGACCCUACAUCACUAAAAAAAUGCGCCGUAUUUGUUUCUCAUGCUUUACCAUGGCAUGUUCUUAUUAGUUCAGGUUGGUCUCUCCGGUUCUUUUCGCCAAUGGCUUGAUGUACGCACUGACAACCUCUUACUGGAAGGAUUCGGCAUGCCUCUGUUCGAGAGAUGGGAUAUGAAGAAAUGGCGUUCUUGUAUGUUAUAUCAUUUGAAGCAAUGACACUUUAUUUUGGUUCAUAUUUCUUUACAGGUUGUUGUAUGCAGAGUUUAUGAGGUUGCACUGCACCAUCAAACUAUGCUUCAUGUUAAGCAACAUCCAGAACUGCCAUUAUAUAUUUAAUGUAGUAGGUUGAUGCAACUUUGUAACCAGUCAUGGAUUUAAAAUAGGCUUUCUACCUCUUUAUUUUGGUCGGCAUGUUUUGGCACGUGUUUUUGUCAUUGAUUUGCUAUAUAUUAAUUACAUUUGAGUAGACUGUUGACUGAGAAAGCGUGAAGAUGUUGUGUUUUGAUUUAUGAGGACUAAUAGAUAGUUUUCCCUCGGGUUUAUUUAUUUUCUCUCCACACUUUUAAUUCUACAUAAAAGUACAUUCUAUUGUUAUUUGUUUACUAAUGCAAUAUAUGUACCCUUAUUUGUCUCAACUUUAUCAAUUUUAGUUUGUGUUUUCUGUGGCGCAGAACACAGUUAAAGGCAGUGCUGUGUCAAAGAUGCGUGCCAAAUAAUUAUUAAUUAAGCUGAUUGAAAUAUCAAACUUUGGGUGCAGUCUUCUUGGUCCUGUAUAUAUGACUGGCUGAUACAAAAUCUGGACAGUUCUGUCAUGACUUUUAUCUUCACAUCUUCCUUUCAUGAAUUUACUAACGCUUUUUUUUACUUGAUCUUAUGUGCAGCUACGUUUAUUCAGGUUAUAGGGCCUCUAUAGGAAACACAAUAAUCUGAAUUCCUAAGUAAAUAUAACAGCUCCAGUGUGUUUUUCUUGCUUAAAUUUGCCAUCCUGAAUUCCUAAGUAUUUAUAACAACUCAAGUGUAUCCAUAUAUGACAUUAGAUUUUCUUCUUACUUGGAUCUUUUGCCAUGUAAAGUAGGUUGUCUUCAUGUCGCUGUUGUGCUACUGCUAGGCAUGAACAGAAUGGCCUCCUCUUAUUGCGAACCACACUGAUGUUGGCUUCUGAUUUCUGCUGUAAUGGAUUAUUUACUAUGGACAAAUAUGGCAAUAUUCAUUUGGAGCACCGUUUCUUGAGGAUAUGUCUCUUCUACAGGGGGAGAUCCCCGGCCUCUGCAUCAGAACGAUGCAUACAUGAUAUCGGUACUUUUUAUAACUGAUCCAUGUUCUUGGAAUACUUUAUUUUAUUUCAUUAAUAAGCAAGGGUGGAUGGUGGCUUGCAGUGUGCUUGUACUAAAAAAGGUGUUCUGCCAUCCCAUGGAUUCUAGCACAGCUUGAAGCGGCCAAGUCAAGGAGGACCUAUAAAAUUAUUUGAUCGUCUCUCGCUCUCUCUCUCUUUCUAUAUAUAUAUAUAUAUAUGUUGUCUGGUGCAUGUAUGGCUGAGAAUAGGGAGAGAGAGCAAGUUUAAUUUUCCUUGGGCAUUCAAAUUCUUAUUUUGCUUUUCUCAGAUUUUUGGCUGGGUGUUUAAACAUACUUGCACACACUGGUUUCAGAUUUCAGUGUAAACUACAAAUAGGGGAAAAAUAUAGUGAUUUUUCCAAAUUAGAAAUAGGGAGAAGGAAAACUAUUGAUUAUUGUGUGCAUGUAUAACUAAUUGGAUUACUGGUUGAACGAGUGCAGACUUGAGAAAGAAGAGAUAGGGCCAAUAAAAUUAGGUGGGAGGUAUGCUGAUGGGUUCAUUUUAGCAUUACUAAUCGACCGCUUGGCAUCCUGAAGCUGAAAGAUUAGCGAGACUGACUAAAUUCUAAACAUGUUCCAUAGCUGGAGGAAGAAGUUGCGAGGCUUGAAACUCUGUGAAGGGCUCAGGGACAGCAGUGAGGACAAUGCCUCUUUAGUUGUAAUUGUGAUACUCUUGAUGUGCAAUUAAACACUCCUGUGAUACUCCUUAUGCUAAAAUGUUGGUUGUUAGUACAGAGGUGGUGACAUUAUUUGGUUCUCUGGUAUUGAUUUCA